GCCGCUGCCGGCCCGGAAGAAGAAUUCGCAGCCCACCUUCAACUUCUGGCGCGCCUCCGUGGGUUCGUUCCCGUUUGUGUCCUGGGAAAGGCUGGUGUCCUUUGUCACAGAAGGAAGCGCACCUGGAGCUGGAAGCAGGAGGGCCCCGCAGCAAGGAGGGGAGCCAGCAGGUGCUACAGGAGGAGCUGUGGUCUCCACGCCAGCAGCAGAACCCGGGAGUCUGGAAGCCCUGUGAUGGCCCUGGGGAAACCAACCCCCUCUGAGCCUCAGUUUCCUCAUCUGAAAGCAGGAGGAUUGGACUGAGUGCUGGAGGUCCAGCUGCUCUGACACCCCAGGACCCUCCUCACUUGGGGAAGAGAGCAGACGCCCUCACUUUGCUGCUGGACAGAGUAACCUUCGUGUCCUUUGGGGAGACAAUGUUGGUCAUCGCCAUGGCUGGGCUGAGAAGUGACAAGCAAGAGUGAGUCUCUCUGUCCUGGACUAUUUUGUCCCCAGUCUGCCUCUGCUAACACUUGAAACCAAAAUGAAGCCUGAGAGUUUGGAGUCUGGUGAUGAGGGAGGCGUUCUCAGAAACGGAAGGAGAGGAAAGCCCCACAUUUCAGGCCCGUCCCUGUGUUGGCCCAUUCACACCUGUGAGCUGGGGACAGGACAUGCACUCCUGGUCACCAUCCCCAGGGCUGACUUGCACUGGCCCCCCUGCCAGUGGGGACCCACAGACACUGAAUCCAGUCCGACUCCAAGUCUGGAAUCCAGAACUUCUGGUCAGCAAAUGCAUUCUCCGUUUAAUCAGGAAAACUGGAUCCCUGGACCUGGCCUCCACCACUCUGAGCUGAUGCUUUGGAAAGAGAUAUUAGAUUUGCAGCCACGGAGGACGGUAAGGAAAAGCCUUUCUGCCUUGUCAUUAUGACUCUUUUCAGAGGAAGCCAGAAAUAGCCGUGCUGGGGAGGGGGUUCUGCCUGGGAAUGGUCCCCCCAGAGAGCAGGUCUCAGUAUGGACUCAAAAGAACUUAUCUAAUUAACAGAUCAGAGAACUUGUAAAUCUCUUUAUGACUGGCCAAGGCAACUUCUCUUUUCUAUCGUGAACUAACUCAUCUCUCUGGGAGCAGGAUGACGCAGGCAGGAAUCAAUAAAAAUAGAUGCCGGGGAUGAGGGUGGGGUCCUGGGUGAGCCUCACACCCUCUCUGGAGCUGCUUCAGGUCAGCCUUAUGUGUGAUGUUUCAAAUUUUCAUAUGGAGAAGGUAUUAUGUGUAACCCGUGUAUUACUUGGGUAAUUAAAUCUUAAAUUUUGAAAGACCACUCAAUUGGAAACCACCGUGGUUUUCCUCCCACAGUCAUUAAGAAUGUCCUGAUUUGCAUAUUACUGUGUUCCCAAAUUCAG